rnacentral:ncRNA from 1 species
AAGAUAGAGGCGCGUUGCACCAUCAGUACCUUAUGCAUUUUAUGCUCUCCGGCAGGAGUGUUCUCGCAUAACGGGAAAGGGGUCAUCGCCGAAGGCGGCUUUUGCCGGAGCCGUGCUGGGAGCGGAGAGAACAUCCCCGUUACUGUCGCUUUUGCGGAGAGCUAUCCG